GAGUCGAGUUAUUUGGGACUAUAGCUCUAAUAGUUUGGUUGGUGGUAAUGACACAUCAAAGGCUAAAUAUUGGUUAGAUCGAUGCAUAUUGCGGAGACCGAUAGCAUACAAGUACCGUAAGGGAACGAUGAAAAGCACCCUAUUGAGUUCACGGCGCAGACUCGAUGCGCGGUUCGCCGCGUGACCUGUCCAGUGCCCAACAACUACAGUGGGAGUGAAAGAGAGAGUGAAAUCGCCUAUACAUAAAAUAUAUGCACUACACGCAGUAACUGCAUGCAGUCUGCGUUAGUACAAUCGGACAGAGUGUCGUAUCAUUGUAUGGCCGCCUAAUACAUAACACACACACAUUACACUGUGUAUUAUGGUCAGGCCCAUAGCUGGGUUCGCCCGCUAUACGCGACACAACUGUACGACCCGUUUUGAAACACGGACCAAGGAGUUCAACUGGAUUACGAGUCGUCGAGUAACAUCUAAUAUGUACACUCACACGGCACAGCGAAAGCAACUUAAUCCUUUUACAGUGCUAGGUCGGCCGUCAAAAGCUGACCGCAGCACGCGCUGAGUGAGUAUAUGCGUGAGGGCCUCGUGUCAACGCGCGUACCUGUACGCCUUUGUGUGAACAGGAUCACUCAAGCGUUCAACGAGUAUAUCUUGUUGAGACCCGAAAGAUGGUGAACUAUGCUCGGAUAUGGCGAAGUCAGGUGAAAACUUGAUGGAAGCUUGCGUUGUGCGGAACUGACGUGCAAAUCGUUACCGCCUAACCUGAGUAUAGGGGCGAAAGACUCAUCGAACCAUCUAGUAGCUGGUUCCCUCCGAAGUUUCUCUCAGGAUAGC
rnacentral:rRNA from 1 species